CUACGGGGGGCACCAGUGGGGAAUCUUAGACAAUGGGGGAAACCCUGAUCUAGCCAUGCCGCGUGAGCGACGACGGCCCUAGGGUUGUAAAGCUCUUUCAGCAGGGAAGAUAAUGACGGUACCUGCAGAAGAAGUCCCGGCUAACUCCGUGCCAGCAGCCGCGGUAAUACGGAGGGGACUAGCGUUGUUCGGAAUUACUGGGCGUAAAGCGCGCGUAGGCGGAUUGUUAAGUCGGGGGUGAAAUCCCGGGGCUCAACCCCGGAACUGCCCUCGGUACUGGCAGUCUUGAGUUCGAGAGAGGUGAGUGGAAUUCCGAGUGUAGAGGUGAAAUUCGUAGAUAUUCGGAGGAACACCGGUGGCGAAGGCGGCUCACUGGCUCGAUACUGACGCUGAGGUGCGAAAGCGUGGGGAGCAAACAGGAUUAGAUACCCGCGUAGUC
rnacentral:rRNA from 1 species